AUAAAGGUUGGACCACUCAUAAAUCACCCACACCAACUAACAAAGAGCGAAUAAAGACAAAAAUAAUUUUAUCUUGGAUACUCUCUCUCAGCAGAAAGGUUUCCUCCCUCCAUUCAACGCAUGCCACGCGAGCCACUACUUAAAAAAUUCCCAACGGAUAAUUCUCUCCACUGACUGAAAUAGAGAACACUUUCUCUAAAUCAUAAGAAAAUAAAAAAGGUCAUAUUUUUCUCUGACGCGUGAAUUCUUC
rnacentral:lncRNA from 1 species